CAUUUAUUCGCCGGUUAUGUUGACUGACAGCCGCUUAAACCACUGACAAGGCUACAUGUACACAUUAUCCCGCCUUCCUCCUACCAAUAGGAUACGAGAAGCAGAAACGUCGACCAAUCAUGUUCAGCGCAGCCCUUCGGUUCCACUCAGCAGCCGGCAUUGCGGACGUGUGCUGUCUGGAUGAGGACGCUCUGUAUUCUCACAUAUUAAUUGGGCUUAAAACAUUUCAGUUCGCUGUUUGAGUUACGCGUGUUUUCAUGAGGGCACAUGGUGAAGUGUUAAUCUUUGUGGUGGGCUUGGUGUGGUCGUCUCUAGCCGUUUUCGUGCUUGACGUUUGGUGGUGGUAACUGGUAGACUGUAACCAGUAUUUUGCAUAUGAAAAAUGCGAAUAUACUGUUUGACAAGAGCUGUCCUGGAAAUGCUGAAGUAUCUGCAGUAUGGCAAACUGUAUUUCCAGUGGAAGUCAUGGUACAAGAAUGUCAACAAUAAUAAGCAUUGUGUGAAGGGCAUCACUUUUGGUCGUAGAGGCAACAAAUUAGACUUGUACCAUUCCCCAAGCAUGGGCCAGCCAAAGACUGGGCUUAUUCCAGUUAUAGUGUUUGUAUAUGGAGGUGCCUGGGGCUCAGGAGAGAGAUCAACGUACUGUCUACUCGCGCUACAAAUGGCCCAAGAACUUAGUGCCUCCGUGAUUUGCCCUGAUUAUUCCAUAUAUCCAAAAGGGAAUGUUUUAAAUAUGGUGCAGGACAUAAGUGACAGUCUGAUAUGGGUGCGAGAGAAUGGCCAUUUUUUCAAUCUUGACAAAGACAACAUUGUGUUAAUAGGCCAUUCAGCAGGUGCUCAUCUUUGUGCCCUGACAACACUGUUUCUUGUGGAAGGUGUGGAUGAGCUGUUUAUUGAACAAUCCCAGCAGAGGGAAAUUACAAACUCUAUUAAAGGAAUCAUAGGUUUGAGUGGCGUGUACAAUAUAAUGGAUCAUUAUCGACAUGAGAAAAUGCGAGCUGUGGAAUAUGUCUCGACUAUGCACAAAGCCAUGGAUGGCAUAGAGAACUUUGAUUAUUAUUCACCUACAGUACUACUUCAGAGACUGAACAAGAGCCAGUUAAAAAGAGUUCCUCCAAUAGCUUUACUCCAUGGCACCAAUGACAUCAUCGUUCCAGUGGAGUCAUCCUUAAAAUUCUCUGAGGUCCUCACUUCGCUCUCCAUUCCAGUGGCCUUGUAUCUCCUGCCUAAGAUGGAUCACACCAAGAUUGUUACUGAUCUCAUGGCACCUGAAAGGCACUUUUAUCAUACAGUAUUUGCCUGCAUCAAACAGGAAUGCAGAAAAUGUAUUAAACCAUGUUAAUGUUUGACUUAGAUUGUUAUAACUGUUAAUUGUGCUGAGUGUUUAACAUCAUUCGGCUGUUUUUCCACAUGCUGUAUUUGUUUUACGCUCCUCACAUUAUUUGAAACAUUUUUAAUCACAAAAUACUGUUAUUGCCAUUAUUAUAGCAAAUGAGUGAGACCAAGGAAUUUAUACUAUAUAUUUUAUUUGUGAUAAUUUACAGUCUGUACAGUCUGAAUCAUUUAUAUCCUGUUAAAAUUUUCUGCUCAGCCUUCAGUGUUAUUACAUUCAAUUUAUCUUUGCAC
ensembl:lncRNA